CCUAUCGAACAUCAAGAAAUUUCUACCAAUUGACACCUAUAACAAUUUUAGAUUAAUAAUAGAAUUAAAAGAAAAUUCAAUAAAAAUAAAAUCACAUUUUUAAAUAAUAGAAACAAUGGAGAAUAGAAAAUAUGUAGAAAUAGGUUUUACAUUAUUUGAAAAUCACACGUAUUUAUCAUACUCGUAGUUGCCAAUCAAUACAUUAAGAGAAUAUCGCUCGUUACCGCGAGCUAUGUCCUUGUAUUUACGUAAGUAUCGUACGAGCAGAUAUUACGCAAAGGACUUAAUUACAAGUUCGAAUUAUUAAAAUUCCUUUUAUAAAUAUUUAAAUAUAAAAUAAAAUAUGUUAAAAAUUGCUAAUAAUUUUAUUUUCUAUUAUCUGUUAAACCAAUCUUUUCGUUUAAUCAUCCUACUCUUGUUACGUUUGUAUCUAAUUCUAAUUUAAUCUUUAAUGCGAAGAACAUGUACGAAUACGAAUAUUUUCUUAAACGAAGGAACUCGAAAAUUCUCCGUAUAGUGAAGUUUUUAUAAAAAGAACUUGAAACACGAUAUCCAAUCGCCACACGAUCGAAGCCACACGUUCGAGAGUUUCUGUGUUUUUAUUAGGAGACUGUUUUAGUGCGAUCGACGAGACAUGGCUAGCAUGGCAUGAAUUGCAAAUUAGUUUCCUUUGUGCAACAACGAACGAACAGCACAGUAAAGUUCUUUGAUUACUAUGCGCGUAGAGAAGAAACUUCUUGCAAUUUAUUGACUCGCCUUGAGUUUUGUGUUCGACUAUAUUCCGAUUCAAAGUAUUACGCCAAAGUAUUCUAACCUAAUCUUUUCUGGCAAAACUUCGAAUUUACACGGAAUAUUAUUUUCAAGUUUGUAUUCUAACUCAAAGAUGAAAUUCUCGUUUUGUCUCUGAAUUUAGUCAUAAUUAUUGAAACACUUGCCCGAAGGAAACUUUCGCUAAGUUGCGUCAACAGGUGAAUUAGUCGGCAUCGAACCGGAAAUUUCAUUUAAUCUAUAAAGAAUAAACUUGGCGGAAAAGUUGCAGAAUAUUCUAUAUCGAUCUACCAUGCAGAUUUAAGUAUCACCAGAUUUUUAACUUUUAACUUUGUUUUAUCUCUUAUAUAUAAUUAUAUGUAAUUGAGCGUAAAAAAUACUUAUUAAUCUUUGGAAUAUUUUAUGAAAAAUUAUGUGUCAGUAAAGUAACAAAAGAUAUCAAUUUUUGACAUAUUUAAUAAUAUUUCAUUUUAUGAUAAUGAAUAGUUUAAAAUUCGAAAAAUGAACUAUGAAAUUAUAUAUUUACUUACGUGACAAAUGCUUUUGACAGAAAAAUUCUCUUAAAAUUAUAUUAAAAGAUAUACUUAGUAUGCGAAAUAUUUUUGCAAUCAAUAUUGAUUUAAAUUUUGAAUACAUACAUUCAUACAUAUAUAUAUUUAUACAUCGGUCAAAAAUUUAUAAUCAGUAAUAGAUUUCAAAAAAUUUAAAAUAAAAAUGAAAUAAAAUUAUAAGGAAAAGUUAGGUUAAGAUUUCAUUUUCCAAAGGAAAAUUUUUUAAAGAAAAAUCUAUCAAAAUAUAUAAAUCAUAUUACUAUUAAUAUUUGUAGCACUCACUCAUUUUGAAUUAAUAAUAAUUUGAAAAAGAUUCAAUGUAAAAAGAAAAAAAAGUGAUUUUUAGUUUACGUAAUAUGUUCGUAUAUUUAAUAUCUAAUUAUCGAUUUAUUAUACAGAUGAAAAUUUACAGAAUAAAAUUAAAUAAAUUUUAUAUUGGUUGAAUAUUAAAUAGCGAGGUAAGAUCAGACGUCGGCAAUCGUACUGAGACUACAAAAUGAACUCGAAGUCUUGUUUCUUUCACUGCUCGCAUACCGAGAAGAACAAUGGCCGCUUUCACCGAAAACCACGACACACGAGCCUCGAGGUCUUUGGCUCUACUUCUGUUUCUUUUCGUCGAAAUCUUACUUUGUUCAAUCUUUUAUUUCUUAUCUCUUUUUCAAAUAUCACAAGACUAAAUUGUUUGAUAAAAGCUGAUUAAAUAACAAAUAUAUAUUUUGUAUAUUUUUCUUUUACAAAUGAUCUACUUAAACUGCCAUUGGUAAAUAUUCGCAAACGAAUCGUUAUUUGAUUCGCUGACUUGAAAAUUUUUUUAUCGAAUUUCCGACAUAAUUCAACGCAUAAUUUAUAUUGUUUUUUUUUAAAUUUUUUUUAAAUUUUUUAAUUUCUAAAGAUUAAAAUUGAUUAGAUAUAUUUAAAACUUUUAUAAAUAGUAAUUGUAAAAGAAUUUCGUAUAAGUAUUCAUCAGCUAAAUAUAUAUCACAAUUUUUUCGAAAUUUCAUCUAGAAAUUCAUCGAAGAAAUUCACUUUCUUGAACAGAAUGGUCUUAAUAAUAAUUAGCAUAUUUCUUAUUUUUAACUUGCUAUAUCUAACGACAAAACUUAUUAAAUAUAUUUGUUAUAACAAUCAAGAUGAUUAAUUUUUCGUGUAUAAAUCAUUGGAAAUCAUUCCUGAGAAGAAUUUUCCUUGAACCCAAUGAAAUGAAUAAUAUUACAUCGAAAACGAUAUAACGUAGAUUGGUCAAAUAUUUGGAGGUUAUAUUUCUCGAUGUUCGUUUUUUACUUAUUAUCAUUCUCCAUGAUCAUCAUAGUCAGCAAAAAUUAAAAUUUUAUAUCUUUUGCAGAAAUAUUCCACCGUUCUGACACGCAAUGAAACACGAUUUUCUCUUUAGAUGAUAUUUUUCGAUAUAUAACAUCUAUUUAUAUGAACCUAUUAGAUCUGUCGAAAUUAACCAAUCAGAUUAACGCAUUCCGAUUGUUCGCGGCCAAUCUCGAGUUGGAAGUUUAUAACGAAUUAAUAUUAUAGAAUUUAUAGAUGAACUUUCAACACGUAAAUUGCUUUGUGACCGCGGAUCCCGCGACCGCUUUUCAUAGUCGUAAAUCAACCAGCUAUUUUCCUAUAAGCGCCAGUUAUGAACGACUACAUUGUGCAACAAGAGGCGGUACGAGGACAUCGCGAACAUGUUUAAACGACUCGGCCUUUGAUAGGAGCGCCAGCAAUUAUGCUAUAUAACGUGAACGAAUUGACGCGCUCGGUCAAGUCCUUUUAUAUAGGACAAAACGAACAGUAGAAUGUGCGUGUUAUUCGUACGAUAAUCGAACACGCGUCCAAGAUCAUUCGAGUGAAAAAAUGCUUGCUUCUAAACCAGUGAAUAUUUUCAUUUUGGAUUCGGUGGAAAUUUAAUGUAACAGAGGAAGGAAAACAUGACUGCAAGCCAUAUUCGUGCACGUGGUGAGCCGUCCUCGAUGUGAAAAUCUCCCACGUGUCAUUGAACCGUUAGAUUCACACACAUGAAUAGACGGGGCGUACAACAAGCCACGACCUUUUUCCCUGCGAUUCGUGCAGCCCGAUCGAUGGAAAGUGUUACAAACAUAAAAACGUUCACUGCGAAAGAGAAAUGCAUCGAGUAAUACGUAGAAACGUUUCUCGAGAAUCGUUUCGAUUCUUCUCGAUCUAUUACGUACGUAGUUUCUACGUAGUUUCGUAAAACAAUACACAUUGCAGGAAUGCGUUCAAAGGAUCGCGGGCAUGGAAAGGAACGUUGAAACAAGUGAAAUAAAUAAAGAAAGGAAUUCGUACAACUUGUUCCACGAGAAAAAACUUUUAUCUGCUCUUUAUUCAUCAUCUAAAUAGUCAAUUUAAAAGCGCUUUUGAAACUAAGUGAUUUGUUUUUUUAAGUAUUUUGAAUUAUUUUUUAAAAUAAUAUCGUUUGGACAAUGCUUGUUUGGUAAUUAGAUUAAUAAUUAAAUUAUAAAUUUCGUAAUAAAUUCAAUUGUAUUGAUGAAUUUUUUGUUUUACAAUUAUCAAAAAUAUGAAUUUUUGGAAAAAUAAAUAUUUCAUUUCGAAAUAAUAUAAUAUAUUGAAAUAAAAAUACUUACGAUCAUUAUAUUUAAAAUAUUUAAAAUAUUACAAGUCUGUUCUUUUUGUUGUUAUCCAAAAGAUGGCAGGAAGUCAUAAAACAAAAUGGUACAUAUACGUUGAUUACGUAAGUUAUACAUAAAAUUGUCAAUAUUUAAUGUUUUUGGAAAAAAAAGAAAACAAAGAGACUUAUUGUACAAUUUAAUAGUUAAAAAUUUAGUUGUUUGUCCUACUUCAUUGUCUUUCGAAAAUAUCGAAAUAAUUCUAGAAACAUCGAUUAGACUCUCUCGUCACAAUUGUUUCGUGGAAAACAUUUGCAUACACGUGAGAACAGAAAGGCUUGAACGAUUCCCGAACGUGUCCUGCGCUAACAUUCAUGCUAGCUCGUCUUCGAUAAUUAACGUUUCUCCUUUUAGUCGAUAGGGAUAUAUUUAUUUAUAGACGGCAAGUCAAACAGGAAGUAUUGUGUGAUUACUAUACAAUAUUUAUUACGCAUCAUAUAUUUAUAUAUACAUGUACAAGGUAGAAUGUCAUGAAAUAUUACAUGUAGUUUUCUUUUCGAAAAUUAUUAUAAAUGUAAACGUGUUUUUUUUUUAAAUUAAAUGGUUGAUAGAAAAGAGAGAAAAAGAUCGAUAAUAUCUAUAUAUUUAUUGGAUUCUAUUCUCUUCGAUUUGAAGAAAAAGCAGGUUGAUAUCUACAGUCGGUAUCAAAAAAAAAAUAGUUGUAACGCUUUGUACAUUCCGCUUUACAUGUAUGUAUCCGAUUAUUAUGCCGGACAACGCGGAUAAAAAUAUAAAAGUGAAAGAAAUCGAAAGGAAGAGGCAAACAGAAAUAGUUCCUAUUACAUAGGCUGCAUGCAUCGCGUCACUUCCGGAUGUUAGAACUUUACAUAACAAAGCAGAAUCUUAUCUCUAUGUACAAUCAUAAUUGCACGAUUGUGCUUGUAUUUUGUUUUGUUAUAUGUCAUUUCUUUUUUCUAUGAAAAAUUUUCAUGUAUAUAUACUUCUAGAAUUUUUUUUUCAAAAAGUAUAGUUUUAUUGACGAUUCGUUUCUGGAAUAAUGAUAAUUUCUAUAUCAGGCCAGAAUAUGGAGAUGAAAGAUAAUGAAAGAAAUUUUUAGAAUAAAGUUAUACUAUUUCAAGGGACACAUAUUUUUUUCAAAUGAUAUCCUAUAUUUUUUAAAAUUAAAAUUUCAUCGAUCUUGAAAACGAUUCUUGAGAGUCAUUUUCCAUUAAUGAAAAUACUAAUUGAUAGUAACUUUGGUUAUAGCUUAAAAAUUUUAUUGACGCUUUAAAAGAAUUUUGCAGCGUGAAUACAAUACACGAUGAUAGUUUUCCAUUUUUCAUGCGAACGUUGCUCGGAUCUGACGAGCAAUACUGAAUUGUGAGAUAUUCAGGAACGAGUUCUGGCAAAGUUAUUUUUACGAAGUGUCGCAUAUGAUAAAGGACAAUCGUGAGUCACGUUUUAAAAACUGGUUUUCUUGUAGACUUCGCGUCUUACGCAUUCGCUAUACCUACCAGACGUACAAAUCGCAACGAAACCUAUACAUAUAAUUAUGAUUCUGCCAGACAAACGACCUUGGACCAACAAAAGAAUGUAAUCGAGAAAUAAAUUUUUGAACUAUAAUUCACCUGUGAUAUUCUCCUUUCUGAUCGAGUAGUAGCCGAAAUCUCGAUAUACAUAGAGACUCGUCUUAUUAAGUAAUUUAUGUUAUGUUAUAUUUUUUAAUAAUGAUAAUAAUUUGUGAUAAUAUAUUAUCAAACAUAUAUAUAUAUAUAUAUAUAUAUAUAUAUAUAUAUAUAGUACAUAAUAGUACAAAUUAAAAAUUUGGUAUCAAUAAUAUAUCCCAUAAAAUUUAAAAAUAAAAAAAAGUUAGGUUAGAAUUUUGUUACUUGAGAAAAUUCUUUUAGCAAGAAGUUUAGUCAAGUGUUUAUGAAAAAAAUUGCAAAGUUAAAAAAUUCAAUGUAAAAAGAACAAAAAAAUUCUAAAUUGUUGACGAUCCAAAACGGAAAAAGUUAGUUGAAAAUUUUGCAUUUCAUUAUCGAAUUCAGCAGAUUUAUAAUAGGAGAUAUAAUAGAAUGCGAAAAAAAAUUUUAUCUUGGUAAUGAUAAAACACAGAGUUACGUAGUUAGCUAUUAUAUCACGAUGUGUGAAAUUGUGAUGAUAUAGUGUCUGGAGAAAGAACAAGCAAGCCUUCGAGCAUAUUCCGAGUCCUUCAAGGACAGGCCAGAACGAGCUGUGGUCUAACUAUAGUCGGUCAUUACCUAUCUACCUACUAGUUUCACGCGUAUAUUUGUUUUCUUUUUUCUAUUUUUUAAUUUAGAAAAAAGAAUUUCUGAUUUUAUCGUAUAAUGGCCAGGAUGGUUUAACAAUCAUUUUGAUAUUUAAGGUUUUAAUUUCAAUCUCUAAUCGAAUAAUUAUUUUUUUUAUUUGCGAAAAAUUAAAAAACUCUAUCCUAGAUGUACAAAGAUCCUCAUGAAAUGAAUUUCUGAUUUCAUUGUAAUUUUAUAUCACACAAUAUUUAAAUAUUUUACUUCGAUUUAUAUUUGUUAUAUUUAUAUAAUCGAAUUAUAUAGUCUUAAAAUGAUUUGCAUUAAUACUUGGACAUGUUUAAAAUAUACGAAAGAUGAUUAUUCUAUGAUUAUUUAUUUAUUAAGUAUAUUUAAUUUGUUAUUUUUUAAUAUAUUAAGGCCAUUACUUAGCAAAAACAUAAAUUUUGUUUAAUACAUACAGUAUUUUGCAUAAUUAUGGCGAAUUUUUUUAAAAUUGUAAAAAUAUUCAGAUAAUGAACAAUUUACAUAAAUUUUAUAUCUACAUUUAUAUAAUUUAUUUUACAAUCGUGUGAUUGGAAAAGAUAAUUAUUCGUUGAGUGAAAAAUAAUAUAAUAAAUGUCUAAAAUCUAAUUCUCUAUUAAAGAUAAAUGAGCCAAUAAUAUCAGUGUCUUUUG